rnacentral:rRNA from 1 species
UACAGAGGGGGCAAGCGUUGUUCGGAAUUACUGGGCGUAAAGGGCGCGUAGGCGGCCUUCUAAGUCGAACGUGAAAUCCCCGGGCUCAACCCGGGAACUGCGUCCGAUACUGGAAGGCUUGAAUCCGGGAGAGGGAUGCGGAAUUCCAGGUGUAGCGGUGAAAUGCGUAGAUAUCUGGAGGAACACCGGUGGCGAAGGCGGCAUCCUGGACCGGAAUUGACGCUGAGGCGCGAAAGCCAGGGGAGCAAACGG